GGUGAACGCUGGCGGUGCGCUUAAUGCAUGCAAGUCGAGCGUGUCCCGGUGGCGCAAGCUGCCGGGAAAAGCGGCAAACGGAUGAGUAACGCGUGAGCAACCUGCCCUUCGGUGGGGUACAGCCCAGAGAAAUCUGGGUUAAUCCCGCAUACGGUCCCCGGACCNUGGUUCGGGGAGGAAAGCCUUCGGGCGCCGGAGGAGGGGCUCGCGUCCUAUCAGGUAGUUGGCGAGGUAACGGCUCACCAAGCCGAUGACGGGUAGCUGGUCUGAGAGGACGGCCAGCCAGAGGGGGACUGAGACACGGCCCCCACUCCUACGGGAGGCAGCAGCAGGGAAUUUUGGGCAAUGGGCGAAAGCCUGACCCAGCGACACCGCGUGGAGGACGAAGGCCUUCGGGCUGUAAACUCCUUUUCCGGGGGAAGAGAAAGGACGGUACCCUGGGAAUAAGCUCCGGCUAACUACGUG
rnacentral:rRNA from 1 species